rnacentral:rRNA from 1 species
AGUGAACGCUGGCGGUAGGCCUAACACAUGCAAGUCGAACGGCAGCACAGGAGAGCUUGCUCUCUGGGUGGCGAGUGGCGGACGGGUGAGGAAUACAUCGGAAUCUGCCCAGUCGUGGGGGAUAACGUAGGGAAACUUACGCUAAUACCGCAUACGACCUUCGGGUGAAAGAGGGGGAUCGCAAGACUUCUCGCGAUUGGAUGAGCCGAUGUCGGAUUAGCUAGUUGGCGGGGUAAUGGCCCACCAAGGCGACGAUCCGUAGCUGGUCUGAGAGGAUGAUCAGCCACACUGGAACUGAGACACGGUCCAGACUCCUACGGGAGGCAGCAGUGGGGAAUAUUGGACAAUGGGCGCAAGCCUGAUCCAGCCAUACCGCGUGGGUGAAGAAGGCCUUCGGGUUGUAAAGCCCUUUUGUUGGGAAAGAAAUCUUUCAGGCUAAUACCCUGGGAGGAUGACGGUACCCAAAGAAUAAGCACCGGCUAACUUCGUG